rnacentral:misc_RNA from 1 species
UCAAACUUGGUCAUUUAGAGGAAGUAAAAGUCGUAACAAGGUUUCCGUAGGUGAACCUGCGGAAGGAUCAUUACAGUGCCUGCGGGGGUCCCGCGUCUCAGGACGUGGGUACGUCCUCCGCAUCCGGCCACUCGUGUUUACCUCUACCUCUGUUGCCUUGGCGGGCCCGCCGCUCAGCGGCCGCCGGGGGUUCGGCGUACCCACGCCUCCCUGGCCAGCGCCCACCACAGGACACCUUCAAGAACCUUUGCGUAAGCAGUGAUGUCUGAGCUGUUUCUUUGCAGAAUACAGUUAAAAACUUUCAACAACGGAUCUCUUGGUUCCGGCAUCGAUGAAGAACGCAGC